GGCAGGUCUACCCAAGCAGCCAACUUAAAUCUCAUGUAAAUGAAUUUGAAUGUAUUAGUGCACUUCUCUUUGCCAUGAUUUCACAGCUUUGAAUAACAUUUUUGCUCUUCGACUCUUUUUUCCCUCAAAGUGAAGCAAAAAAAAAAAAAAACAAAAACAAAAUUAAAAGCCACACAAGAAGAUAGAGAAAAGAAAUACCUCUAUGCACAAUAAUACGACGCAAAAAACCAGACGGCAAAGGAGAUACAUUUUUGUUGUUUCAUUCAUGGGAUGUGUGAAAAAAAAUGCUAGGCAGGCAGACGCAGAACAGUGAUUUUUUUUUAUAUUAUCCUUUACUUAUGAACAUAAAUAAUAUGUUUUACGCAUGAAUAACAAGUUCUUUUUUUUUUGUUUGCUGGAUCUAAUUAUGUCAUGUGUUUUAUUAUCUUUUGUUUUCUAAUGAUAUUUGUAUAGGUUCUUAGAAAAAUAUAUGUAUAAAAAAAAAACGGCAGGCGAAAUCAGACAUUUCAAAAAUAUUAUAGUACCUAUGUAGGUACAUAAUUAUGUAGGUAUAUCUAGCUAUGCAGGAUUCGCAACCCUUUCACUUUUUCAAUUUAGGUAGCUAAUUCUUUUUUUCGCAGUAGUGUUACAAAGUAAUAUGUAGGCUGGUAGGUACCUACCUACAUAUUGAAAAAUAUUUAUUGGUGCUUUCUAUCAGUGCGCUGCGUCAUGCGGUGGCAAAGUAAUAAAUGUUUUUUGAUCAUUUAGGUGAUGAUGAACAAUGGAAAAAUAGAUUUAUCAUCUCAGUCAUUUCGCGGAACAUGGCGCUGGGCACCCACAUAACUGCAACGGCUACCUACUAAAAGUAAUAAUUUUUUUGAAAGGGUUGUAAGAGCGCUACAUAAAUACAUAUAUGGUAGGUAUAUACAUAAUAUUUGAUUGUCCUUUAAAAUACCUACUCUUCAACCCAACCAAUGUUCAAGAUAGGUACCUAGACCAACUAGUAAUUAAUACACUAUACAGAUUUUAUUUACAAGUAUCUUGAAAGAAAUAAAAGUAGAUAGAUUGUAUCCUACCCAAAAGUGUUUACAAAUUUUUAACAACAAUAUCUACGUAGGCAUGCUAAUGGCUGGCGCACGCCGACGCGCCGCCGCCGACCGACGACACCAUGUCUGUCGGUUACGAGGACGAGGACGCUGGUAGUGGCACACGACCAGGAUGAUGUCCCGAAAAUAUAUUUUAUUUGUGUUUUAUGACUUUUCAUUAUAGAACAGACCAAUAAAGAAAAAAAAAUUAUGUCGAAACUAAUUCUACCUACUUUACUAUGUAUGCAAGCUAUGUUCCUAUACACUAUAUAUGUACCGAAAAGUAAUAUUCGUUCAUCAACGAUAAAAAAAAUAUUGCAAUCAUGACCAUGCACAAAAAAAAAAAAACA